rnacentral:RNase_P_RNA from 1 species
CGGGUCGGCCGGACGGUCGCGUGGCGGGAGACCGCACCGAGGAACGUCCGGGCUCCACAGGGCAGGGCGGUGGGUAACACCCACCCGGAGCAAUCCGCGAGACAGUGCCACAGAGAGCAGACCGCCUCUCCCGCGUGCGGGCGGAGGUAAGGGUGAAAGGGUGGUGUAAGAGACCACCGGGAAUCGUGGCGACACGAUCCGCCAGGUAAACCUCGCCCGGAGCAAGGCCAGACAGAGGAUGCUGACGCGGCUCGCCGAGUCCUCGGGUAGGCCGCUGGAGCGGCACGGCAACGUGUCGCCGAGAGAGAUGACCGUCGAAGGGACCACCCGAGAGGGCUCCCGGAACAGAACCCGGCGUACAGGCCGGCCCGUUCA